CAGUCUAUUAUUUGGUGAAGAAACAAAGCAUAUGGACCAUCAUUGAAAAGCCUGGAUCUCAGAGUAACUUCUUGUACACAAUCUUGCCUUUUCUCCCUUCCUUUUGUAGACUUUGUUCUUUAAUAAACAUCUUGUACCCAAACCACAUCUCCAGGUCUGUUGCCCAACAUCCAUAUCUAUGACAUUCAAAAGAAACCAGAAAACUUUUGUCUCAUUUUGAUUUUUCCUCCAGAGUCCUGCAAAUAUGAAUUCCCUGAAAAUGUAUGAAGUUACAGAAAGAAAUGGACAUUUGGUCUGCUUCAUUUCUGGACUUUUCCUGAAGAAGCAGCCCCUCUCUAGGACGCUGUUCAUCUUUAGGCAGAGGAAAUAUAACGCCAUGGAAGAACCACGUGGUGGCUCCUAUGGCUUCUACUGGGUGUGGAACAUAGCACUUUUUCUCACAUUUCUGUGGCUUAAGUAAGUCACAUGGCAAGGCUGUCAAUGGUGAGAAGUGCAGUUCUUCUCUAGGGAGGGCCUUUGGAGUAAGAGGUCCCACAGGGAGGGAUUUUUGUCUUUUUGUUGUUGUUGUUAUAAGAAUCUUUAGCUUUGCAAGCAUGCAAACCAAGGAAUAGUUGAUUUGAUGUCAUUUCACACCGAUGAGUUAAUGUUAUGACCCUGAAAAUAAUUCUUGGCAGUCAGUAUUGACUGGGGAGUGACAGAGUAGUAGAGAGUCAUGCAAAUGGGGGACUAUGAAAUUGAGAGUAGCUACUUCUCUCUAUGACCAGGAAGGGCAUCAAGGGCACAGCCCAAAUCCUUGCUGACCAAGGCACCCGGAGGAAGACUGAAUUUCAAUAAUAUGUCUGGUCAUACACCACUGAAGGGAAGGGUUUACUGGUUUGAGAGCUGGUAGGGAAGGGUAGAUCAAGCAAGGAUGUCACAAUCUGAGCAUCUGGUGAAGGCUGAAGGCUUAGUUCAGUUUUCAAGGGAGGAAACUUAUUUUUGAGGGGGAAGGGCAUGCCCUGAGUUCCUUUGUCUGAAAACCCCUCCCCUCCAUGAAUCCCCGGGGAGUAUGCAAGGAACUCGUGGCAAUGUAUGCAAAGAAGAAUAGUUACAGAUAGUCCUAUAUAUUAAAAUGUAGAGAGAUAAUGGGCUUAACCAGAUCUAUAUGAACCAAGCAGUUAGAACAUAAACCCUUGCAGACAGUUAGGUAAAGCAGACACAUGAGAAAGGAGAAGGACAAUCUAAUUCUUGAAUUAAUGUUACAUUCUAGCCUGAUCCUUUUGGGUAAAUGUCUCAUUUUCAUGCAAAUAAAUCUGUUUUAAGGACUCUAAAAGUAUUUCCACAAUGAUGUAAAUCGUUCUGGAUGAAUUCAAUAAAAGCAAGUAAUGAUCA